AUGAUGUACACAUGCCCCAAUCAUGAGCUCUCAAGAGGAAUUAUCUUACAGAAUUUUUAUGCUCGGCUUUCUCAUAAUGAUCAGACCAUGCUCGAUUCUUCUUCAACUGGUUUCUUUGUGAAGAAAACUAUUGAAUUCAAAUGGGAUCUUCUGGAAAAAAUUAAAUGCAACACUGAAGUUGAGGUACUCAACAAAGGUAAAGAGUCAGAUAUAACACUUAAGUUUGAUUGUGUUAAAACUUUUAUGGAUACUGAUGCUUUUCAUAAGUUUAGUACUAAAUAUGACUCUGAGAUAGUAGCUUCCUUUUGUGAAUCAUUUGCUACUCAUGUUCAUCUCCCUAAGGAGAAGUGGUUUAAAUAA
rnacentral:rRNA from 1 species